rnacentral:tRNA from 1 species
GGUGGUGUAGCUCAGUGGCAGAGUGCUUGCUUACCAUGCUCAAGGUUCUGGGUUGGAUUCCCAGCAAAACUA